rnacentral:rRNA from 1 species
UGACAGUACUCCUACGGGGAGGCAGCAGUGAGGAAUAUUGGACAAUGGAGGCAACUCUGAUCCAGCCAUGCCGCGUGCAGGAAGACUGCCUAUGGGUUGUAAACUGCUUUUAUACAGGAAGAAACCACUCUACGUGUAGAGUUCUGACGGUACUGUAAGAAUAAGGAUCGGCUAACUCCGUGCCAGCAGCCGCGGUAAUACGGAGGAUCCAAGCGUUAUCCGGAAUCAUUGGGUUUAAAGGGUCCGUAGGUGGACAAUUAAGUCAGAGGUGAAAGUCUGCAGCUCAACUGUAGAAUUGCCUUUGAUACUGGUUGUCUUGAAUUAUUGUGAAGUAGUUAGAAUAUGUAGUGUAGCGGUGAAAUGCAUAGAUAUUACAUAGAAUACCAAUUGCGAAGGCAGAUUACUAACAAUAUAUUGACACUGAUGGACGAAAGCGUGGGGAGCGAACAGGAUUAGAUACCCUGGUAG